rnacentral:rRNA from 1 species
UACGGAGGGUGCAAACGUUGCUCGGAAUCAUUGGGCGUAAAGCGAGCGUAGGCGGUCUUAUAAGUCGGAUGUGAAGGCCCUCGGCUCAACCGAGGAAGUGCACCCGAAACUGCAAGACUUGAGUGUCGGAGAGGGUGACGGAAUUCCCGGUGUAGAGGUGAAAUUCGUAGAUAUCGGGAGGAACAUCAGUGGCGAAGGCGGUCACCUGGACGAUAACUGACGCUGAGGCUCGAAAGCGUGGGGAGCAAACAGG